rnacentral:rRNA from 1 species
UACGGGGGGAGCAAGCGUUGUUCGGAUUUACUGGGCGUAAAGGGCGCGUAGGCGGCCACCGCAAGUCGGUUGUGAAAUCUCUGGGCUUAACCCAGAAAGGUCAACCGAUACUGCGGGGCUAGAGUGCAGAAGGGGCAACUGGAAUUCUCGGUGUAGCGGUGAAAUGCGUAGAUAUCGAGAGGAACACCUGCGGCGAAGGCGGGUUGCUGGGCUGACACUGACGCUGAAGCGCGAAGGCCAGGGGAGCAAACGGG